rnacentral:lncRNA from 1 species
UUUUGUUUCACUUCUGCACUUAAAUUAUUAUAUAUAUUUUUUUGGAUUUUCGGGGUCGUUACAGUUGGUAUCAGAGCCGCAUUUCUCGGACCCGUUCCUUACACAACGAUACUUAGAGAAACACCAAAUCAAUGAAUUAUCACUCAACCCUUCCUUAUGCAAUGCAGGUACAAAGAGAUGAGGAGAGGAAGACCCCGACUAAACCGAGCAGUUCGAGAUGGUUCACUUAGACAAGAUGUUGACCGGAUAUUUGAGAUGCUGUAGAGACUCAACGUUGCCCAGCAGGGCCAAGAGGAGAGGAGAGAGCUACCUAACCCUCCCCUGCUACCACAGGUUCAGCCACCACUGCAGUGAGAGGAUCCCGAGCCACCCCGAUACAACCCUGCUCCUCCACAGUACCACCCAGCACCACCGCACGCACAGUAGGCUAGGCAUGCGACACCUAGUAUGCCUAGGCCCUGCGCAAGCAGCAACAGGCCU